ACGGGAGGCAGCAGUGGGGGAUAUCGCGCAAUGGGCGAAAGCCUGACCCAGCAACGCCGCGUGAAGGAAGAAGGUCUUCGGAUUGUAAACUUCUUUUAUGUGGGACGAAGAAAGUGACGGUACCACAUGAAUAAGCCACGGCUAACUACGUGCCAGCAGCCGCGGUAAUACGUAGGUGGCAAGCGUUAUCCGGAUUUACUGGGUGUAAAGGGCGCGUAGGCGGGAUGGCAAGUCAGAUGUGAAAUCUAUGGGCUCAACCCAUAAACUGCAUUUGAAACUGUCAUUCUUGAGUGCUGGAGAGGUAGAUGGAAUUCCUUGUGUAGCGGUGAAAUGCGUAGAUAUAAGGAAGAACACCAGUGGCGAAGGCGAUCUACUGGACAGUAACUGACGCUGAGGCGCGAAAGCGUGGGGAGCAAACAGGAUUAGAUACCCUGGUA
rnacentral:rRNA from 1 species